rnacentral:lncRNA from 1 species
GCGGCGACAAAUAAGAGUCGCCACCGAUACAGGAUUCUUUGGUGGCGACAUUAAGUGUCGCCAUCGAUACAAGAUUAUUUGGCGGCGACAUAUAGAAGUCGCCACCGAAAAGUAGAGUAUUAGUGACGAUAUUUGUCGCCACGAUAUCUCAUUAUUUACCGCGCCACAUCUUCCCUCCUUUUUUUUCAGCACUCAGCCACCAUCUAUGCAAAAAGACCANAUUCUUUGGUGGCGACAUUAAGUGUCGCCAUCGAUACAAGAUUAUUUGGCGGCGACAUAUAGAAGUCGCCACCGAAAAGUAGAGUAUUAGUGACGAUAUUUGUCGCCACGAUAUCUCAUUAUUUACCGCGCCACAUCUUCCCUCCUUUUUUUUCAGCACUCAGCCACCAUCUAUGCAAAAAGACCAAAUUACCCUCACUUACUUUAUAUACAUUGUAUAAAUAGUGAGGGCUUUAUUGUCUAUUUACAUUUAAAAAUAAUAAAAAAUUCUAACCUCACUUCUAAACCCAUCUCAAACCCGAUCACUUUUCUCUCUCUCUACCUUACCCUAGCUCCUCAUCCCCUCUGCCUCCGCCACCUGCGGCUCCAGCAAGCCCCGCGCCUCCGCUAAGCCCCGCGGCUCCGCUAAGCCCUGCGGCUCCGUCUUCAUCGGAAGCGAGCCCCGCGCCUCCGCCACCUGCGGCUCCAGCAAGCCCCGCGCCUCCGUCUUCAUCGGAAGCGAGCCCCGCGCCUCCGCCACCUGCGGCUCCAGCAAGCCCCGCGCCUCCGCUAAGCCCCGCG